rnacentral:misc_RNA from 1 species
GUGAGUCAUCGAAUCUUUGAACGCACAUUGCGCCCCUUGGUAUUCCGGGGGGCAUGCCCGUUCGAGCGUCAUUACACCACUCAAGCCUCGCUUGUAUUUGGACGUCGUGCUAUGGCGCGUGUCUUAAUGUGUCCGGCCGAGCCGCCCGUCUCUAAGCGUUGUGCAAUCAAUUCGCUUGCGAUUCGGACGGGUCUGCGCCGUUAAACCCUCUUUCAAAGGUUGACCUCGGAUCGGGUAGGGAUACCCGCUGAACUUAAGCAUAUCAAUAAGCGGAGGA